CUGUACCUCUGUCUCUGUGGCAGCACGAACAGGAAAUGUAGAAAAAUCCCAUCAGAGUCAAUUCAGUUAUCCCCCUGCCUCUAACAGGUGUCCCAUAACCAGGACAGAUCACCUGGAUGCCUGCCUGCCCUGAUAACUGAUGUUGAAGGUCAGUUGACCCAUCUCACCUCCUCCAGGAAGCCUCGCUGCUCCAGCCCUCCCACACUGCCAGGCCGGCCCUGGAACUUUGCCCGCAAGACCACGCCUCAGGGUGGAAAAUGAAAGAUGCUUAAGGUCACUGCCCCUCCUGUUCUGUACACAAGCCUAAGCUCGGGAGGAAAUAAUUUGAGGUAUCUGGAAGAAGCAGAGAGAGCAGGGCAGCUCUGAAGUCACUGCGAGGCUGUGAGAGGUCAGCCAGCGCUUCAAAGGACCCCAGGACCUUUGCAUAACCCUGGACUGAAUGGG
rnacentral:lncRNA from 1 species